rnacentral:rRNA from 1 species
UACGUAGGGUGCGAGCGUUAAUCGGAAUUACUGGGCGUAAAGCGUGCGCAGGCGGUCUGUUAAGACCGAUGUGAAAUCCCCGGGCUCAACCUGGGAACUGCAUUUGUGACUGCAUGGCUAGAGUACGGUAGAGGGGGAUGGAAUUCCGCGUGUAGCAGUGAAAUGCGUAGAUAUGCGGAGGAACACCGAUGGCGAAGGCAAUCCCCUGGACCUGUACUGACGCUCAUGCACGAAAGCGUGGGGAGCAAACAGG